AAAAAAAAUGAAGUGGGUGCAGCAAACCAACAUGGCACAAGUAUAGCUAUGUAUCAAACCUGCAGGUUGUGCACAUGUACCCUAGAACUUUAAGCAUAAUUUUUAAAAAAAAGAAGAAAGAAAAAAAUGAAGCAUGAAGUAAAAUUAUUAACUGAGAACAGAGGGGAUACAGUUUAUCUAAAAACAUUAAAAGAAAAACUUAAGGAAAAUUAAAACAGAAUUUAAUUGAGCAAAGAAUGAUUAUUGAAUCAGGCAGACCCCCUGAUCCAGAAUAAAUUCAGAGAGACUCUACUACUGCUGUGUGGUGGGAGAAAAUUUAUGGACAGAAAAAGGAAAGUGAUGUACAGAAAAUAGGAGGGAGGUACAGAAACAGUUGGAUUGGUUAAAGUUCGGGUGUUUACCUUACUUGAACACAGUUUGAACAGUUGGCCACCUGUGAAUGGUUGAAGUAUGGCUGCUGUGAUUGGCUGAGACUCAGCUCCUGUUACAAGAGUGGGUUACAGUUUGUUUACACAUCCAGUGAGGUUACAGUUCACUAGGUAUGGAGGAGCCUUAGGCCAAACUUAAAAUAUGUAAGAGGCAGCUUUAUGCUAAACUUGACAAAAGAAAGCCUCAGAGUGGGAAAGUCAACCUAAGAGAGAAACCGUUUAUUUUGUGGGUAAUGCUGAGUGCCCAUUUGAGUGGAGACCUAAAAACCAGACUCUGAGCAGUAGCAUGAACCAAAUGUUGUCCUAGACCUGAAGUUUGGCCAUAUCCCAUUGUAAGCAUUGACAUCACCACCUACCUCUCAGAGACAGUUAACAGGCCUGAGGUAUGAUGAGAAAAGAGAGCAACCAGACACAACAACUAACCAGCAUUCCUUCCUGAUAAUAGACCACUGACCUUGGAGUGGCUCUGGCCAGUCUACAAAGGAUGCACACUGAGUACCUUAGUGUCCUCUGCUUCACCUUUUGACAUCAGAGGGCAGAAAACUCCACCCAUGCCUCCAGGCUUCCAUGAAGAGGCAUGAAGCUCAGUUUCCGCUUUCAUAAAUAUUUAUGACUCCUCCUGUAGCUAUUAAAUAAUGUAUAUUUGACCACUCAGUUCAGCAUAAAUUCUUAUUCCUUUUGCCCCUCCCUUGAAGUGCCUCUUUCUGACUUCUAUUCAGAGACUGUUUCCCAGUCUGUUGGAAUGGCCACUCUCCAGGCUGCAACCAUUUAUGAGAAAUAAAUCUUUCCAGCCAGGUGCAGUGGCUCAUGCCUGUAAUCCCAGCACUUUGGCAGGCUGAGGUGGCUGGAUCACCUGAGGUCAGGAGUUCAAGACCAGCCUGGCCAACAUGGUGAAACCCCAUCUCUACAAAAAUACAAAAAUUAGCCAGGCAUGGUGGCGCGUGCCUGUAAUCCCAGCUACACUGGAGGCCAAGGCAGGAGAAUCUCUUGAACCCAGGAGGCAGAGGUAGCAGUGAGCCAAGAUCAUGCCAUUGCACUCCAACCUGGGUGAUGGAGCAAGCUUCGUCUCAAAAAAAAAAAAAAAAAAAAGGAAUGAAAGAAAUCUUUCCUUUCCAGUCUUAUGAACCUCAUUAUUCUUCAGCUGACAGAAGUUAACAGGAUAAUACACAAUGGCCCAUUUGCAAAUACAUAAGCAAGCGGUUUCUUUGAUUAGGUAGUUACUCUGAGGAAGGGUGCAAACCCCAUGCUCUCUCAGAACCUCUCUAAAUAAUGGCUUUAACACACACUCCUGCCCUCACCACACCUGGCAGAGUGGGCCUGCCUGAGGGUGGAGGGUAGGGAGGUGGAGGUUGUAUUUUGGGGAGGAGGAUGGAGGUUUUGCCCUGAGGGGCCAGCUGCUGGGGGAUGAGAAUAAAACAGUAUAUGACAGACCACAAUGGCUGCCACAGCAGAGGCUCCAGAGGAGACAGGGAAGUAAGCAGUCACCAUCUCUCCUCUCCAUAGGACUACCAUUUCUAGUCCUAUGGUAGGCUGAAUUCUAAAAUGGCCACCAAGAUUUCUUACCCUGGAAUGCAUGCACUGUAAACCCCCUUCCCUUGAGUGUGUCCAGAACCUGGGAAUAUGUUGGCAUAUCACUUCUAGGAUUAGGCCACAUUAUAUGGCAAAGAUGAAGGGAAUGUGUAGAUGUAAUUAAGGUUCCAGUUGGUUGAUUUUAAGUUAAUCAAAGGAGAGAUUCUCUUGGGUGGGCCUAACUUAAUCAGUUAAAAUAUCUUAAAAGAGGGGCUAGAUCUUUCCUGAAGAGAGGAUGCUCCCUUACCAGCUUUGAGGAAGGAAGCCACUGUGAAUUCCACAGCUUCAAAGAAAUGAAUUGUUUCAAAAGCCAUGUGAGCUUGUGGGGUCCUUCAGACCAGCUGGUGUCAGUAAUUUCACUGCUAUGCGGGAUUUGACAGAAUAUCUCAAAGAGGAAAAUUUAAUGUUUCAUAAUGUUCAAGUUGUUUUCUAUAGAGCAGGGGUCCCCAGUCUUUACCCCAGGCUUCAGGUGAGCCCUAGCCCUGGCCUAUGCCUUGAUUGCAGCCUUGUGAGAUCUUGAGCAGAAGACCUGUCAAAGACAUGCCCAGACUCCUGACCCACAACAAUUAUGAGGUAAUACACGUGUGUUGUCUUAAGCCGCUAAGUUUGUUAUGUGGCAUAGAAAACUAUUGCAGACCCCUCAAGAGAGUGGAAUUCAGAGGCAGAAUUUUCUUGAAAAACAAUCAUCAUGGCCAGGCAAGGUGGCUCACGCCUGUAAUCCCAGCAUUUUGGGAGGCUGAGAUAGGCAGAUCACCUGAGGUGGGGAGUUCGAGACCAGCCUGACCAACAUGAUGAAACCCCCAACUCUACUAAAAAUACAAAAUUAGCCAGGCGUGGUGGCGCAUGCCUGUAAUCCCAGCUACUCAGGUGGCUAAGGCAGGAGAAUCACUUGAACCUGGGAGGCAGAGGUUGCAGUGAGCCAAGAUAGCACCAUUGCACUCCAGCCUGGGCAACAAGAGCAAAACUCCAUGUCAAAAAGAAAAAAUAAAGAAAAAAACAAUAACCAUGAGUAGUGAAUUCAUGUCAUUGCACUACUCAAUCCACAGAGGCUGCUGCACAGUGGGCUUAAUACCUCUGAGGGCAUCUUCAGCAACUACUCAACAGGAAGGAAAAUGUGAUAUAUUCAGGUACAUGCCAAACACACUGACGUGUGACAACCACUUCAUCAGGAUCAGCAAAAGAGGAGAAAGGAUGGAAUUUUACAACCAUGUCCAAAUGGUGAUGAUGGGCAUAGCACCCACCUGUGCCAUCCUCUGCCAUUUGAUGUCAUGCUGUUGGUCAGUCAGUCACAGGCUGUGAAGAGCAUGCUGGACUUGGCCAGGCUAUUAAGGGAAGAUAU
rnacentral:lncRNA from 1 species